rnacentral:rRNA from 1 species
GAUGAACGCUAGCGGCAGGCUUAAUACAUGCAGGUCGAGGGGCAGCGCGGGUAGCAAUACCUGGCGGCGACCGGCAAACGGGUGCGGAACACGUACGCAACCUUCCUUUAAGCGGGGAAUAGCCCAGAGAAAUUUGGAUUAAUACCCCAUAAGAUGGUGCAGAAGCAUUUCUGAGCUAUUAAAGAUUUAUCACUUAGAGAUGGGCGUGCGGCUGAUUAGGUAGUUGGCGGGGUAACGGCCCACCAAGCCUUCGAUCAGUAGCUGAUGUGAGAGCAUGAUCAGCCACACGGGCACUGAGACACGGGCCCGACUCCUACGGGAGGCAGCAGUGGGGAAUCUUGGACAAUGGGCGCAAGCCUGAUCCAGCCAU